UACGGGGGGGCAAGCGUUGUUCGGAAUUACUGGGCGUAAAGGGCUCGUAGGCGGCAACUAAGUCGGAUGUGAAAUCCCCCAGCUUAACCUGGGAACUGCAUCCGAUACUGGAUGGCUUGAAUCCGGGAGAGGGAUGCAGAAUUCCAGGUGUAGCGGUGAAAUGCGUAGAUAUCUGGAGGAAUACCGGUGGCGAAGGCGGCAUCCUGGACCGGCAUUGACGCUGAUGGAGCGAAAAGCUAGGGGAGCAACGGGG
rnacentral:rRNA from 1 species